GUCUCUGUGGCGCAAUUGUUCAGCGCGUUCGGAUGUUAACCGAAAGGUUGGUGGUUCAAGCCCACCCAGGGUUG
rnacentral:tRNA from 1 species